CCAGCACUAUAAAGAGUGCCACAUGUGCUCGGCUCACUCUCUUUUGCCUGCCCCGAGGGAUCAUCCUGCUUCAUCCCAGGCCGAGAAGCCGUGGAAUGGCGCUGGAGAAAUCGUUGGUGAGCUGCUGUAGUGGGAUUCGAACUUGCGUUUCUGGGUUAAUGGUCCAGAAUUCUGGCUGUCAGUCCAGCCACAUUAACCAUUACGUUUCACGUUGCAUUUUGCUGGGGUGACAUCGAACAUAAUUGUGCUGUGAUCACCGGGUUUUCACACCAACAUUCCCUUCUGUAGGAGGGGGGUUUCUUUUACCCAGUCUGUGGCUGUGAUCUGGGAUCCGAUGGGCACAGAUUGAACAGGAACCUUCAGAUGGAUAAGUACUGGGAGCAGAAAAUAGUUGUGGUGAAGACUAGGGUUAACUGCAAACUGUUUCCAAAGAACACAGAUGAUGGGCCAAAUGGCCUGCUGGUGUCAUCAUCUCGGAGGAACUAUCCUGGGCUCAGCACAUAGAUGCAACCAUGAAGAAAGUGUGCUAGCACCUCUACUUUCUUUGAAGUUUAAAGAGAUUUGGUAGGUCAUCGAAGACUCUGAGAAAUUUCUACAGAUAUGCAGUGGGGGGCAUUCUGACUGGUUGCAUCAGGGCCUGGUGUGGAAAAUCCAGCGCACAGAAACGCAAGAGGCCUCAGUGAGUGGUGGACUCAGCCAGUUCCAUCACGGUUUCAGCUCUCCCCACCGUCGAGGACAUCUACAAGAGGCGAUAGCUCAGGAUGGUGACAUCCAUCACCAGAGACCCUCACCAUCGGGGCUGUGCCCUCUUCUUGAUGCAGAAGGUACAGGAGCCUGAAGACCCACAUCUCAAAGUUCAACAACAGCUUCUUCCCCACUGCCGUCAGGCUCUUGAACCCGCCUGAAAAACCCUAAUUCUUCCUCGGACUAUAUUUCUUUCUCUUGCACUAGUGUCAUUAUGUUUUUUUUGUUCUUUAUUUAGCACACAUGUAACUUAUGUAUAAUUUUUGUUAAUUUAAGUUGAUGUUAACUUCUGUUUGUCUUGGUUCUGUAAUGUACUUUGCUGCUGCUGCAAAGAGCUCAUUUUCAUGGCAUUUAUACCCUGUGUAUGUCUGUCUGUGACAACUAUAAACUUGGACUUUGAACACACA